GGAGUCUAGCAUGUGCGCGAGUCAUUGGGACACGACUAAACCUAAAGGCGCAAUGAAAGUAAAGGUCCGCCUCGCGCGGACCUAGGGAGGAUGAGACGGUCUACGGAUCGACUCCGCACUCCCGGGGCGUCUCGCUCUCAUCGCGAGAAGAGGCGCACCCAGAGCGUACACGCUGGGACCCGAAAGAUGGUGAACUAUGCCUGGUCAGGACGAAGUCAGGGGAAACCCUGAUGGAGGUCCGUAGCGAUUCUGACGUGCAAAUCGAUCGUCGGAACUGGGUAUAGGGGCGAAAGACUAAUCGAACCAUCUAGUAGCUGGUUCCCUCCGAAGUUUCCCUCAGGAUAGCUGGCGCUCGUUGAGCGAGUCUCAUUCGGUAAAGCGAAUGAUUAGAGGCAUUGGGGUCGAAACGGCCUCAACCUAUUCUCAAACUUUAAAUGGGUGAGAUCUCCGGCUUGCUUGAAAAGUGAAGCCGCGAGAUAUCGGAUCAGAGUGCCAAGUGGGCCACUUUUGGUAAGCAAAACUGGCGCUGUGGGAUGAACCAAACCCCGAGUUAAAGCGCCUAAAUCGACCCUUAUGGGAUACCAUGAAAGGCGUUGGUAACUUAAAACAGCAGGACGGUGGCCAU
rnacentral:rRNA from 1 species